rnacentral:lncRNA from 1 species
GUUGAGGGGCAUCUGGGUUCUUUCCAGCUUCUGGCUAUUAUAAAUAAGGCUGCUAUGAACAUAGUGGAGCAUGUGUCCUUCUUACCGGUUGGGACAUCUUCUGGAUAUAUGCCCAGGAGAGGUAUUGCUGGAUCCUCCGGUAGUACUAUGUCCAAUUUUCUGAGGAACCGCCAGACUGAUUUCCAGAGUGGUUGUACAAGCCUGCAAUCCCAACAACAAUGGAGGAGUGUUCCUCUUUCUCCACAUCCACGCCAGCAUCUGCUGUCAUCUGAAUUUUUGAUCUUAGCCAUUCUGACUGGUGUGAGGUGGAAUCUCAGGGUUGUUUUGAUUUGCAUUUCCCUGAUGAUUAAGGAUGUUGAACAUUUUUUCAGGUGCUUCUCUGCCAUUCGGUAUUCCUCAGGUGAGAAUUCUUGGUUUAACUCUGAGCCCCAUUUCUUAAUGGGGUUAUUUGAUUUUCUGGAGUCCACCUUCUUGAGUUCUUUAUAUAUAUUGGAUAUUAGUCCCCUAUCUGAUUUAGGAUAGGUAAAGAUCCUUUCCCAAUCUGUUGGUGGUCUUUUUGUCUUAUUGACGGUGUCUUUUGCCUU